AGAGUUUGAUCCUGGCUCAGGACGAACGCUGGCGGCGUGCUUAACACAUGCAAGUCGAACGAAGAGCGAUGGGAGCUUGCUCCUAUCAAUCUUAGUGGCGAACGGGUGAGUAACGCGUAAUCAACCUACCCUUCAAUGGGGGACAACAGUUGGAAACGACUGCUAAUACCGCAUACGAUCGUAAUUCGGCAUCGAGAUACGAUGAAAGGUGGCCUCUAUUUAUAAGCUAUCGUUGAAGGAGGGGAUUGCGUCUGAUUAGCUAGUUGGAGGGGUAACGGCCCACCAAGGCAAUGAUCAGUAGCCGGUCUGAGAGGAUGAACGGCCACAUUGGGACUGAGACACGGCCCAAACUCCUACGGGAGGCAGCAGUGGGGAAUCUUCCGCAAUGGACGAAAGUCUGACGGAGCAACGCCGCGUGAGUGAUGAAGGUCUUCGGAUUGUAAAGCUCUGUUAAUCGGGACGAAAGAGCCUAGUGUGAAUAAUGCUAGGAAGUGACGGUACCGGAAUAGAAAGCCACGGCUAACUACGUGCCAGCAGCCGCGGUAA
rnacentral:rRNA from 1 species